AAUACCCCAUAGUAUAUAUAGAUGGCAUCAUUUAUAUAUUAAAGUUUCGGCGGUAAAAGAUGAGUAUGCGUUCUAUUAGCUAGUAGGUGUGGUAACGGCACACCUAGGCAACGAUAGAUAGGGGCCCUGAGAGGGGGAUCCCCCACGCUGGUACUGAGACACGGACCAGACUCCUACGGGAGGCAGCAGUGAGGAAUAUUGGACAAUGGGCGAAAGCCUGAUCCAGCCAUGCCGCGUGCAGGAAGACUGCCCUAUGGGUUGUAAACUGCUUUUAUACAGGAAGAAACCCUCCUACGUGUAGGAGGCUGACGGUACUGUAAGAAUAAGCAUCGGCUAACUCCGUGCCAGCAGCCGCGGUAAUACGGAGGAUGCAAGCGUUAUCCGGAAUCAUUGGGUUUAAAGGGUCCGUAGGUGGAUUAAUAAGUCAGAGGUGAAAGCCUGCAGCUUAACUGUAGAACUGCCUUUGAUACUGUUAAUCUUGAAUUAUUGUGAAGUAGUUAGAAUAUGUAGUGUAGCGGUGAAAUGCAUAGAUAUUACAUAGAAUACCGAUUGCGAAGGCAGAUUACUAACAAUAUAUUGACACUGAUGGACGAAAGCGUGGGGAGCGAACAGGAUUAGAUACCCUGGUAGUCCACGCCGUAAACGAUGGUCACUAGCUGUUCGGACUUCGGUCUGAGUGGCUAAGCGAAAGUGAUAAGUGACCCACCUGGGGAGU
rnacentral:rRNA from 1 species